GAUUCCUAAAAACACGCAAACACAGAUAAAACCACACCAAAUUUAUUCCUUUUGACAUUUACCUUACAAAAUGCCUGACCUACAUUUAAAAGGGUUAAAAU